rnacentral:SRP_RNA from 2 species
UGUCGGUCACCCCGCGGCGAUACGUUGUGAACCCCGUCAGGCCCGGAAGGGAGCAGCGGCAGCAGCGGACUCGGGUGCCGGGGACCGGCGGGCAGGG